rnacentral:rRNA from 1 species
UACAGAGGGUGCGAGCGUUAAUCGGAAUUACUGGGCGUAAAGGGCGCGUAGGUGGUUGCGUAAGUGAGAUGUGAAAUCCCCGGGCUUAACCUGGGAACUGCAUCUUAUACUGCGUAGCUGGAGUACAUGAGAGGGUAGUGGAAUUUCCGGUGUAGCGGUGAAAUGCGUAGAUAUCGGAAGGAACACCAGUGGCGAAGGCGGCUACCUGGACCAGCACUGACACUGAGGCACGAAAGCGUGGGGAGCAAACAGG